rnacentral:pre_miRNA from 1 species
CUUUCAAUUUGCUCUGGGUUAGUAGAAGGCAUUUUAAAUGCACUACUAAACCAAGAGACAAAUUGAAACAC